rnacentral:rRNA from 1 species
AUACGUAGGGUGCGAGCGUUAAUCGGAAUUACUGGGCGUAAAGCGUGCGCAGGCGGUUUUUUAAGAUAGGCGUGAAAUCCCCGGGCUUAACCUGGGAACUGCGCUUAUGACUGGAAGACUAGAGUACGGCAGAGGGGGGGGGAAUUCCACGGGUAGCAGUGAAAUGCGUAGAGAUGGGGAGGAAAACCAAUGGCGAAGGCAGCCCCCGGGGCCGAUACUGACGCUCAUGCACGAAAGCGUGGGGAGCAAACAGGAUUAGAUACCCUGGUAGUCCACGCCCUAAACGAUGUCAACUAGGUGUUGGGUGGGUAAAACCAUUUAGUACCGUAGCUAACGUGUGAAGUUGACCGCCUGGGGAGUACGGCCGCAAGGUUAA